UGGUUGGUGUUUCACAAUCCUCGAUUGUUUUUUUUGAGUAUUUUGGAUUCUGCAGAUUUUGGUUGCACCGAGAAAUAGUUCAAGACUUGCGCAAACUUUUUAGUUGAAAAGGGGAGUGAGUCCGCAACUGGACGCGAGAGAUAUCUAGAGCAUUAGAAGACUUACCUGAAUUAUAUAUGUUUACUCAAUCAUUGAGGAAAAGAAAAGAAAAUUGAAAACAAACCAGCAGCAGCAGGGGGGAUUAAAAGAUUUUGCAAGGCUUUGGGCAUUGGAGUGUUUGGGAACACAGACGUCCAGUACAUCUCUGCUGGUAGAGCAACAUGUCUCGUUGCUCCAACAGCAAGCUGCAUCGAAAUUAAUUAAUUAAAUACCCAUUUGCCUUGUAUCCAAAAUAAAAUUAUUAAGCUCUAAAUAUUUAUACAGAAGUUAGUACUCACAACAAGCGCCAUAGCGAAGAUUGGAACAUAACGAAAUUCCAUUGAUAGAAAAGCUAGAAAAAAGAAAAAAGGAAUGCAAUAAAAACUUAGAGUUGGGGAUGCUGUUUAGGUAUUUAGGCAGCUGCUUUAUUUAUACUUGUAAAACAGCAGCACCGGGUGUUUAUGUAUACUUAUAGUGGAAUGCGUAAAUGCACUUGUGAGCAAA